rnacentral:lncRNA from 1 species
GCAGAGCUUUGUCAGGAAUCUACUGAGCUGCUGUUUCCUUCCCAGCAGGUCCUAACUGCUUUAGAUGAGUCCCAGCUAAGACAUCCAAAUUACUAACUGCUUAUGAUGGCCUUCUCAAGAAAUGGGCUAUUUGAAAGAGACAUCAAAGCAUUUAUGGGACUCUGUCUGACAUCUGGAAAUCGGCUUCGUGGUAUAAAGAAAAGAUAUCCAUCUGAAGUCAAACUACAUCAGCUGAAAAAUCAGGAGUUUGGAAGUUUGACUCUAAAUCUACUGUUCUCUCCAAGAAGUUAUCAAUGUCUUCAAAACGUUGAUUACUUUAAGACAGGCUUUUCUGCAAACUACUAUCAAUGUUUAUAAUAUUAAAUGUUUACAAUAUU